rnacentral:rRNA from 1 species
AUUGAACGCUGGCGGCAUGCCUAACACAUGCAAGUCGAACGGCAGCACAAUAAAGAUUUCGGUCUUUAUGGGUGGCGAGUGGCGGACGGGUGAGUAACGCGUAGGAAUCUGUCCUGGAGAGUGGGAUAACCCGAGGAAACUCGGGCUAAUACUGCAUGACAUUGAGAGAUCAAAAGCAGGGGACCGUAAGGCCUUGCGCUCUGGGGUGAGCCUACGUCGGAUUAGCUAGUUGGUGGGGUAAAGGCCUACCAAGGCGACGAUCCGUAGCUGGUCUGAGAGGAUGACCAGCCACACUGGGACUGAGACACGGCCCAGACUCCUACGGGAGGCAGCAGUGGGGAAUCUUGGACAAUGGGGGAAACCCUGAUUCAGCGAUGCCGCGUGUGUGAAGAAGGCCUUCGGGUUGUAAAGCACUUUAGGUGGGGAAGAAAGGUAGCGAGUGAAUAACUUUCUGCUGUGACGGUACCCACAGAAUAAGCACCGGCUAACUCUGUGCCAGCAGCCGCGGUAA